rnacentral:rRNA from 1 species
UAACGCGUGGGUAACCUGCCGUAUACAGGGGGAUAACACUUAGAAAUAGGUGCUAAAACCGCAUAAGCGCACAGGAUCGCAUGGUCCGGUGUGAAAAACUCCGGUGGUAUACGAUGGACCCGCGUCUGAUUAGCUUGUUGGCGGGGUAGAGGCCCACCAAGGCGACGAUCAGUAGCCGGCCUGAGAGGGUGAACGGCCACAUUGGGACUGAGACACGGCCCAAACUCCUACGGGAGGCAGCAGUGGGGAAUAUUGCACAAUGGGGGAAACCCUGAUGCAGCGACGCCGCGUGAGUGAAGAAGUAUUUCGGUAUGUAAAGCUCUAUCAGCAGGAAAGAAAAUGACGGUACCUGACUAAGAAGCCCCGGCUAACUACGUGCCAGCAGCCGCGGUAAUACGUAGGGGGCAAGCGUUAUCCGGAUUUACUGGGUGUAAAGGGAGCGUAGACGGUGAAGCAAGUCUGAAGUGAAAGGCGGGGGCUCAACCCCCGGACUGCUUUGGAAACUGUUUGACUGGAGUGCAGGAGAGGUAAGUGGAAUUCCUAGUGUAGCGGUGAAAUGCGUAGAUAUUAGGAGGAACACCAGUGGCGAAGGCGGCUUACUGGACUGUAACUGACGUUGAGGCUCGAAAGCGUGGGGAGCAAACAGGAUUAGAUACCCUGGUAGUCCACGCGGUAAACGAUGAUCACUAGGUGU